CUUGUGGCCACUGUUGGUCCUGUACACAGAGUAUUAAAGCUGCAGCAGUCAGGCGGGUGCCCAAAGGUGUUUUCGCUGUGCUCUGGAGUUAGUGAAUGACUGGUAGUUUGGGCACCUGUGUCUUGCUGUAGAUGUGGAAAGCAGCUCUGCGUGAUGACAUGAAUACCAGUGGAGACCCACUCACUCAGGAUAUGUUUGGUGCUCUAAGCGAAAGAAAGACAUGAGGCCUCAGCUGAAAUGAGGUGCUUGUGAGGUCAUCCGAUUUCUGGCUAGACGUGUGCGGUCCACGCCUCCUGAAUCCACUUCACACACAAUGGUUUGAAAUUUUUUUUUGGUGAUGGCAUGCUCAGAAUCUUGGAGCCCUAAGUUGAAUAUAUUGGAAAUUUAGGAACCUUGGAAAUUAUGUUUUCUCACAUACAAAUAAUAACUUGCUAGGUGAACUAGCAGAUUUAAUAAAAGUAUGAAAAA